AUGUACGACGCUCCGUCGGCGCAGGAGAUGUCCUACAUGGAUCACGUGCAGAGGCGCCAUGAGGAGAAGGGCUGCAUCUACGCAUGCGUGUUCAUGGCGCUUUGCUGCUUCUGCUGCUACGAGACCUGCGAGUGCUGCCUCGACUGCCUCUGCUGCUGCUGUAACUAA
rnacentral:rRNA from 1 species